AUGGAAGGCGUUGUUGUGAGGAGAGUCAUCCCUUCAGACAACAGUUGCCUCUUCAAUGCCGUCGGUUAUGUGAUGGAGCAUAACAAAAAUAAGGCUUCUGAGCUCAGACAGGUCAUAGCAGCAGCGGUUGCAAGUGAUCCUGAAAAGUACAACGAAGCAUUUCUUGGAAAACCAAAUGAAGCGUAUUGUGCUUGGAUUAUGGACCCUGAGAAGUGGGGAGGUGCCAUAGAACUUUCAAUUCUGUCAGAAUAUUAUGGGCGUGAAAUUGCUGCAUAUGACAUCCAGACAACACGAUGUGAUCUGUAUGGUCAGGGGAAGAACUACAAUGAGAGGGCAAUGCUCAUUUAUGAUGGGUUGCAUUACGAUGCUUUAGCAAUGUCUCCAGCUGAAGGGGCACCAGAAGAAUUUGAUCAGACCAUCUACGUUGUUGACCAGAACCGUUCCAUUGGUCCAGUAGAAGGCCUUGCUCUUAACUUAGCGAAGGAGGCACAUAGGAAGAGGAGCUACACAGACACCGCAAACUUUACAUUGCGCUGCGGCGUGUGCCAAAUUGGUGUCAUUGGUCAAAAGGAAGCUGUGGAACACGCGCAAGCCACCGGCCAUGUCAAUUUCCAAGAAUACAAAUGA
rnacentral:rRNA from 1 species